GUCCCUUUGGAGACAUCCAAUAAAAUUGAAACGAUACAGAAGAGAUUAGCAUGAUCCCUGCCCAAGGAUGACAUGACACGCACGAAUCGAGAAAUGGUCCAAAUUUCU